AUUCUUGGACACUUUUGCCUACUCUGCUUCUCCAAGUCAAACUAUCUCCAGGACAGACCUCUGUAGCCAGGCCAUACAAGCGAAGGUUCUGAGAAAGGGGAGGGAAGCGAUAUUAAAGAACUCAGUAAAGCUUACCUCGGACAGAUGUUGAGACAGGGCUCCGCACUGCAGCCCUCCGCACUCAACAUCCCACUUCCUAAACAUUGUCAAGAAGCUUUGCAAAUUUCCUCAGAAGUUUCCUGGGAGCCCAUUCUCCAUCGAGAAACCAGUGCUGCACAGGAGGGGUCGGGGGCUCAUUUCGACCUCCAUUCAAAACGGUCGUCAGUUCAGUCCAGAUCCCAUCUUCGAUGACCUGGUCCUGGAGAUUUGUGGCAAGCACCUUUACUGGUGAAGUUCCCUCUGGCUUUACUAUAGCCUUUUAUACAAAGAAGUGGGCUGAGCACUCACACCUUCGUUUCCUGAGGUCCGGAUCUGUUUCUCCUGUCUCAAGGGCAGUAGCUAAAAUAAGCAGCACCUUCUGCUUGGUGUCAAGUGGACACUCUCACCACCUGCUUGGGCAUCUUUCUUGGCAUGCCCCACAUUCUGCUCCUCUGAUAGAGCUCUUUGGUC
rnacentral:lncRNA from 1 species